ensembl:lncRNA
GUCUCCUCCCUGUACAGCCUGGUUUUACCUCCCAGAGUCACAUCCUUUCUACUCCCUUUUCUUAAAAGUUAAGCACUCUAGACUUCCGUCGUAUCCCUACCAUGGGGUUGGCAGGCUGCAGAAGGUGAAAGCCUGGCUGUUGCUCCUGAUGGCAGAGGCAGAGAUGGUAAAGAAUUUGCCUGCAAUGAAUACCUCAGUUUGAUCCACGAGUAUGGGAGAUCCCUUGGAGAAGACAAUGGCAACCCAUUCCAGUAUCCUUGCCUAGAGAAUUUCACAGACGGACCAUAGGGUUGCAAAUAGUUGGACAUGAC